rnacentral:misc_RNA from 1 species
GUUUGGAUGGCGUCAACCCUAGCGCCGACUUCGGUGGCUCGUUUCCGUAUGGAGGCGGCCGACAUGUCGUGAAGCUGGUCUGCUUCGAACAUCAACUCGGGGAAGUUAAGGCGGGCGGUGGGGCCUCGGAGAUAGAAGACGGCGGUGUCAUAAGCUCUAGCGGCGGCGACAGGGGUUGUGUAUGAGCCAAGCCAAAUCCUGGAGCGUUUGUUGGGUUCUCUGAUUUCGGCAACCCACUUCCCCCACUUCCUCAUCCUUAUUCCCCUGUA